rnacentral:lncRNA from 1 species
AUGGAGAUAGAGAAGAGGAAACCAAAUGAGUUCCUGUGUGUGGGAGGUACAGGUGAGCUAUUUAUGGUGCCAGGAACUCCACACUCAUGACUCAUUUAUUCCCUAUAAUAACUCUGGGGUGUUGGUAGUAUCACCAUCACUUUAUGCAUGAAUAAGCGGAGGUUCACAGGAAACAUGUGGCAGAAGUGGGGCUUUAACUCAGGACUGACUCCCAAACCUGUGCUCUUCCUUCUACCCUCUAUAGAGCCAAGAGUGGUGCUUUAUGUGCUGCACCAAUGCUGGUCUGGCAGCAGCUGGCCAUGUCCCAGGAGCUGAGGAUGGGGCUGACCCGGAGAGAUGGACUGAGCCAGACAGUCCCCUGCCCCUGCCAACUGCUGUGCCAUUACUUGUGUUGAAGAUGAAGGCAAAGUGGUAAAGGC